rnacentral:rRNA from 1 species
GAUGAACGCUAGCGAUAGGCUUAACACAUGCAAGUCGAGGGGCAGCACAAGGUAGCUUGCUAUCUGGGUGGCGACCGGCGCACGGGUGCGUAACGCGUAUGCAACUUGCCCUAUACAGGAGGAUAACCCGUCGAAAGACGGACUAAUACUGCGUAUGCUCACAACUUGGCAUCAAGUGGUGAGGAAAGAAAUUCGGUAUAGGAUAGGCAUGCGUCCCAUUAGCUUGUUGGUGAGGUAACGGCUCACCAAGGCAACGAUGGGUAGGGGAACUGAGAGGUUUAUCCCCCACACUGGGACUGAGACACGGACCAGACUCCUACGGGAGGCAGCAGUGAGGAAUAUUGGUCAAUGGGCGCGAGCCUGAACCAGCCAAGUCGCGUGAAGGAUGACUGUCUUAUGGAUUGUAAACUUCUUUUAUACGGGAAUAACAAGAGUCACGUGUGACUCCCUGCAUGUACCGUAUGAAAAAGCAUCGGCUAACUCCGUG